CAGCUCGGCCGGCCUCUCGUCGGCAGCGAACGGGGCUGAAAGGUGCGGUGUGGGCAGCGGGGCGGGCUGGGUGUCUUCUACAGGGAUGGGAAAUAGAGUGCGCCUCCGUACUUAUUCCAGUGGUUUCUGCUGGAUGGCUGAGAUGUAUUAGAGGCAGAAAGCCCGGCGAGAGAAAAUCUGGUUCUCUCUCUUUCCAGCUCUAUGGGAUGAAUCACUGCUCUCGGUAGGGCUCCAGCACAACUAGAAACAGACUAUGACCGUGAGCAUUACAGGUGUUAAUGCUCUUGGACUCACCGUGUGCUAAUGUCAUGCUUGAGUUUCUUCGGAGAACAUGUCUUAGUUAUUUUUAUUGGAAAUACAAUUGGUUUAGUUCCCCUAAAACUUAAUUUCUUUUCAAAGCAGUUGCCAGAGAUCAAGCCUAUUCUUGACUCAGCAGCCUGGGUUUUGGCACUGAAAGGGCUAAAGGACUGACACUCUCCAGAGGCCUUCCAGCUGCUUCAAGAAUCACUACACCUUGCUGGAUCUGCAGUGACAUGAAGAAAGAUUAAAUGCUAGAGUUACUAAAUACAGAGGGAAAAGGAAAAAAAUAAAUCUAAUUCUGAAACCUUUUAGGUAAUUUUAUAAAAUUGUCACAAGAAAAGUGAAGCUUCACUUUAGCUCUCGCUUAAGAAAUUGGCGCUACUUUUCUACAUUUAAGCAGAGUUAUAUUUAAUAUCGGAGGAAGAAUUUAGCUUUUGUCACCACUGAAUUCUAAACAGUGUGACUAAAGCUCUGGUGCUGAGGCAAUGUGUUGCUUGCACUAACUCUGCUUUCCUAAGCAAUGCCUCCUACAAUUUCUCUAAACGAAGAAGCAGAUUGCACAAGUAUUUGUGCACAUGCCCAUUGGAGCUGCUUGUCAUGGGGAUAUUUUUUAAUGUAGUUAAUGGGGACAUUUUAUUCCAAAAAUCAAUGAUCCAGUUGUUUGUUUAGCUUAUAUUCAUUGCUUCAGCAAUGUAGAGGAGUGUGCAUUUGCUUGUAAUGUGGUGUCUGUGUAUUUACAUGUGUGUUUACACAUGUGCUGCCAGUAAGCAUGAGCUAUUUAAAUAAACACACGUGUAGGUAUCUGUCUCAAUAGCAAAAGUAGCCCAGUAAAACAUAGCCUGCUCACAACUCAGCAGCCCCUUGCCCACACUGGUAGCUUGGUACAAAUCAGAGGUGCAGCUCUGCCGGCUGUGCUGGAGUCAGGCACAGAGGAGGUGCAAGCAGAUGGGAAAGAUGCCUUAACUCAUUGAAACAAAAAUUAUAACAGCACACUUGUCAGAUGUCUAAAGAAUAAAGUUUUGCUAUGCUUUGUUCUUUACUGUCUGCAAUAGGUGGACCCAAAGUGGAAGACCUUCAAAAAUAUCCCAUUUUUUGGCCAAGAGUUGUAUUUGGCUGUCUGAAUCCUGCAACACAGAAUUUAGAGGAUGUAAUAUCCUUUCCCAUGUAUUUAAUCUUUAGCAAUUCUUGGUUUCCAGCUGGUGUGAACUGAUGUUGUUCCCCAAAGCUCCCUGUGGAUAAAGAUCCAGCUUUGAGCUGGGCGGAGAUUUGUCGCCCAAAGGUGCAGCUGUCAAUGGGUGCAUCAGUGGCAGGGUCUCCAAUGCUGAUCCAUUUCAUGCAUGCAUAUUCAAAACUUUCUUUCAAGGCAAAGGAAUGCAUUAGGAGAUCAAGAAUAUUUUCAGUGGUAGUAGAAAGAAAUCCUAAUUUGUGAUGGGGUGGCAUGUGAGACUAAGACCCCCAUGCUGACAGACUCAGUGAGUUGGGAAGAAGUGGUGCAGGAAGGAGCAACAGGACAACUGCUUUGUGAUUUUAUGGGAUCAUUCAUAAUGGCAUCAGGUCAGAGAAACAAUCAUUUAAUGGGGACGUUUGUUAUAACAUUCCAUCCACUGCCAUCAAAAUUUUUUGAGCCUGAGAUAAAAACCUUUUGCAUUUAUAGGUUAUUAGCAUCCUUUUUUAACUUUCUGUAGGCAGUUUGCAUAUAAAUCUCAUUUUAAGAAUAGUCCAUUAAACCCACAGCUGUCACUUGCUGAGAGAUCUGGGGUGGGGUUUUUUUUCAUCCUGAAAUCAUCUUUUUAAUGUCUUUUGUGCUUUUCCUUCAGAGCUUUGCCUCAUUUUUCUUUUUUUUUAUUCACCUGUUAAAAUUGCAGUUCUCUCUCACAGCUGGCAGAUUGGAAGUAAUGGAAUUUAACUGCUAUUGCAAUGAUUCUGAGCAAAAAAAAAAAUUUUUCAGUUCCUGAUUUUAGAAAUGUAUGUUUUACUAGCUCUUUCUCUUCAUUGCCACAUUUUCUAUCUCCACUUCAAAAUACAAAUACCCAUUGUUCUGCCUAAUAAUAUUUAUUUAAAAAUCAUCAACAUGAAUAAAUUCACACAUUCUCUCAUUUGAGAGACACUUGGUGUAAAGAGAUAGGAAAAUAAUUAAUGCUGAAAGGAAAUUAAAACACAGAGACACAGGUGUACCGCAGAGGUUUAGGCUGUAAAAGCAUCCCAUCAAAAACCUUCCAUUACUUCUCUCUAAACCAGAGAAGAAGAGGGAGUGGUAGAGGCUUAAACAUAGAAGGAUGCUCAAGUGGAGCUGUGUUUAGGAGCAUGGCUGAACCCAGGCUUAAGAUACCACCAUCAUCUUCAACUUCUUGCCCAUGCAUUUUUAUCUUCUGGAGAGAGCUGAAGCUAUCAGAGGGCUUUAUUCCAUUCAAAGUACAAAUGUGGAGAUGAAGGAAUGAAGUUGCAGGACAUGGAGAGUGGAUUUUACAAGAAUGUAAAACUAAGAUUACUUCAACCAACUCAGAAGUUCGGAGAAAAACAUAGAUGGGCUGAGAGUAACUGUUUAAAUUUCAGGGUUUGGUUGGUUGUUUGUUUGUUUUUUGUUUUGCUUUUUUUUUUUUACUGUCGAAGAAAGCAGAAAAAUGUAGGUUGUUCAAUCACAACUGCUAGGAAAACAUUUCUUUUCUUUCUGAAUGACAUAAAUCCCUUGGAAAAUUCAUAAAAGUGCCUGGCUAUGAUUGAAUAUUUCAUCU